rnacentral:rRNA from 1 species
UGCAGAGACUGCAAGCGUUAUUCGGAUUCACUGGGCGUAAAGGGUGCGCAGGCGGCCAAGUGUGUUAGGCGUGAAAGCCCGGGGCUUAACCCCGGAAUUGCACCUAAAACUACAUGGCUAGAGCAUUGGAGAGGGUAGCGGAAUUCACGGUGUAGCAGUGAAAUGCGUAGAUAUCGUGAGGAACACCAGAGGCGAAGGCGGCUACCUGGACAAUUGCUGACGCUCAGGCACGAAAGCGUGGGGAGCAAAAGGG